rnacentral:rRNA from 1 species
AUUGAACGCUGGCGGCAGGCCUAACACAUGCAAGUCGAACGAGUGGCGGACGGGUGAGUACUGGAUGGGAAUCUGCCUGAUGGAGGGGGAUAACUACGGGAAACGGUAGCUAAUACCGCAUACCAUCAGAUGGGCCCAGAUGGGAUUAGCGAGUUGGUGGGGUAACGGCUCACCAAGGCGCCGAUUCCUAGCUGGUCUGCGAGGAUGACCAGCCACCCUGGAACUGAGGCACGGCCCAGACUCCUACGGGAGGCAGCAGUGGGGAAUAUUGCACAAUGGGCGCAAGCCUGAUGCAGCCAUGCCGCGUGUAUGAAGAAGGCCUUCGGGUUGUAAAGUACUUUCAGCGGGGAGGCGUUACCCGCAGAAGAAGCACCGGCUAACUCCGUGCCAGCAGCCGCGGUAAUUC